rnacentral:rRNA from 1 species
AUGUCUGGACGUGAGGUCCGUGAGUAUACCAAUCUCAGCGAUCCUAAAGAUAGGAAGUCAGGGAAGGGGAAGGACAAGAUCGAUGAUGAGGACGUCACCUUUCAGCGCAUGGUUGCAAAGAUGCAGGAUGUUGCCGGUGAGAGGGGAGGCUACCUUCAUGGACGAGGAGCAUUGGACAGUGAUGAUUUGCUUUACCUCAAAGAGCAAAUGGAGGCCGAGGAAGAUGCAGAGCGUCUUCUUCGCCGUACAGAGAAGCGGGCAUUUGCUGCUUUUAAGAAAGCAGCGACUUUAGCUGAUUCUGCACCUGCUCUACCCGCCGCUCUUUGUGUCGACGCCAGGCCAAAAAGCGACAUAAGGCAACGGGAUCUCUUGAAGAACAUUGUUGGGAUCAAACCGAAGCGACCCAAGGUUUGCAGCUCUCCGCAAGCGGCAGAGAACGACGGACCUAAGCUGAACCAGGAAGUUUCUGUCAGCAAAAGCCAGCUGAAGCAACGGAGUCUAGGCCACAAAAUGUGA